GACGAACGCUGGCGGCGUGCCUAAUACAUGCAAGUAGAACGCUGAAGGAGGAGCUUGCUUCUCUGGAUGAGUUGCGAACGGGUGAGUAACGCGUAGGUAACCUGCCUGGUAGCGGGGGAUAACUAUUGGAAACGAUAGCUAAUACCGCAUAAUAGUAGAUGUCGCAUGACAUUUGCUUAAAAGGUGCAAUUGCAUCACUACCAGAUGGACCUGCGUUGUAUUAGCUAGUUGGUGAGGUAACGGCUCACCAAGGCAACGAUACAUAGCCGACCUGAGAGGGUGAUCGGCCACACUGGGACUGAGACACGGCCCAGACUCCUACGGGAGGCAGCAGUAGGGAAUCUUCGGCAAUGGACGGAAGUCUGACCGAGCAACGCCGCGUGAGUGAAGAAGGGUUUCGGAUCGUAAAGCUCUGUUGUAAGAGAAGAACGAGUGUGAGAGUGGAAAGUUCACACUGUGACGGUAUCUUACCAGAAAGGGACGGCUAACUACGUG
rnacentral:rRNA from 1 species